rnacentral:rRNA from 1 species
GAUGAACGCUGACAGAAUGCUUAACACAUGCAAGUCUUUGGCGAAGCUGUGCUUGCACAGCCUAGCCAAGGCGGACGGGUGAGUAACGCGUAAGGAACUUGCCCUGCAGUCAGGGAUAACAGACGGAAACGACUGACAAGACCUGGUAAAGUCAGGCGGACUCAUGUCCAGCCUGAUGAAAAGAGAUGCUGCAGGAGAGCAUUGCGUCCUAUUAUCUUGUUGGUGGGGUAACGGCCCACCAAGGCGAUGAUAGGUAGCCGGCAUGAGAGGGUGGACGGCCACAGGUGGACUGAGAUACGGCCCUUACUCCUACGGGAGGCAGGAGUGGAGAAUAUUGGACAAUAGGGGCAAGCCUGAUCCAUCGAUUCGGUGUGCACGAUGAAGGUUUUCGGAUUGUAAAGUGCUUUCAGCAGGGAAGAAAAAAUGACGUUACCUGCAGAAGAAGCGACGGCUAAAUACGUG